rnacentral:rRNA from 1 species
UACGAAGGGGGCUAGCGUUGCUCGGAAUCACUGGGCGUAAAGCGCACGUAGGCGGAUUGCUAAGUCAGGAGUGAAAUCCUGGAGCUCAACUCCAGAACUGCCUUUGAUACUGGCGACCUUGAGUCCGGGAGAGGUGAGUGGAAUUCCGAGUGUAGAGGUGAAAUUCGUAGAUAUUCGGAGGAACACCAGUGGCGAAGGCGGCUCACUGGUCCGGUACUGACGCUGAGGUGCGAAAGCGUGGGGAGCAAACAGG